AGCAGCCGCGGUAAUUCCAGCUCCAAUAGCGUAUAUUAAAGUUGUUGCAGUUAAAAAGCUCGUAGUUGAAUUUCGGGACUAAUAUGUCGGUCGUACUUUGUACGUACUAGCAUUAUUGGUUUCUCCCUUCUGACGAACCACGAUGUCAUUAAUUUGGUGUCAUGGGAAAUCAGGACUGUUACUUUGAAAAAUUAGAGUGUUUAAAGCAAGCUCGCGCUUGAAUACAUUAGCAUGGAAUAAUGAAAUAGGACGUUUGAUUCUAUUUUGUUGGUUUCUAGGAUCGACGUAAUGAUUAAUAGGGAUAGUUGGGGGCAUUAGUAUUCAAUUGUCAGAGGUGAAAUUCUUGGAUUUAUUGAAGACUAACUACUGCGAAAGCAUUUGCCAAGGAUGUUUUCAUUAAUCAAGAACGAAAGUUAGGGGAUCGAAGACGAUCAGAUACCGUCGUAGUCUUAACCAUAAACUAUGCCGACUAGGGAUCGGAUGAUGUUAAUUUUUAAUGUACUCAUUCGGCGCCUUAAC
rnacentral:rRNA from 1 species